rnacentral:lncRNA from 1 species
UCGAGUCGCCACCGCACUUCUAUUUAUCCAAAGGAAUGGUUAGAAAGCGAACAAAAACCUAAAAGUUUUAUCGAAUCAAAAACUAGUAAAAAUGUCAGAGAUCUGGGUAAGGGGGUUGGUUAUGCAAUGGGAAGGUGUUAGGCACCCAAAGCAUCCUAGGUACUCCUAGGGAGCCCUUUUCACAUUUGUUGUAAGGUUGUUGUUUUUUUUUGUGAAAAUUUAUUUGUGCAAACAUGAUUGAAGGGAUGAGAAAAGAAUAUACAAAUUUAUUUACAUUUUGUGUUUGAAUGGAUGAACCCAUU